rnacentral:rRNA from 1 species
ACCUGAAACCGUGUACGUACAAGCAGUGGGAGCCUCUUAAUGGGGUGACUGCGUACCUUUUGUAUAAUGGGUCAGCGACUUAUAUUCUGUAGCAAGGUUAACCGAAUAGGGGAGCCGAAGGGAAACCGAGUCUUAACUGGGCGUUAAGUUGCAGGGUAUAGACCCGAAACCCGGUGAUCUAGCCAUGGGCAGGUUGAAGGUUGGGUAACACUAACUGGAGGACCGAACCGACUAAUGUUGAAAAAUUAGCGGAUGACUUGUGGCUGGGGGUGAAAGGCCAAUCAAACCGGGAGAUAGCUGGUUCUCCCCGAAAGCUAUUUAGGUAGCGCCUCGUGAAUUCAUCUCCGGGGGUAGAGCACUGUUUCGGCAAGGGGGUCAUCCCGACUUACCAACCCGAUGCAAACUGCGAAUACCGGAGAAUGUUAUCACGGGAGACACACGGCGGGUGCUAACGUCCGUCGUGAAGAGGGAAACAACCCAGACCGCCAGCUAAGGUCCCAAAGUCAUGGUUAAGUGGGAAACGAUGUGGGAAGGCCCAGACAGCCAGGAUGUUGGCUUAGAAGCAGCCAUCAUUUAAAGAAAGCGUAAUAGCUCACUGGUCGAGUCGGCCUGCGCGGAAGAUGUAACGGGGCUAAACCAUGCACCGAAGCUGCGGCAGCGACACUAUGUGUUGUUGGGUAGGGGAGCGUUCUGUAAGCCUGUGAAGGUGGCCUGUGAGGGUUGCUGGAGGUAUCAGAAG